AGAGUUUGAUCCUGGCUCAGAACGAACGCUGGCGGCAUGCCUAACACAUGCAAGUCGAACGAACUCUUCGGAGUUAGUGGCGCACGGGUGCGUAACGCGUGGGAAUCUGCCCUUGGGUACGGAAUAACUCAGAGAAAUUUGUGCUAAUACCGUAUAAUGUCUUCGGACCAAAGAUUUAUCGCCCAAGGAUGAGCCCGCGUAAGAUUAGCUAGUUGGUGAGGUAAAAGCUCACCAAGGCGACGAUCUUUAGCUGGUCUGAGAGGAUGAUCAGCCACACUGGGACUGAGACACGGCCCAGACUCCUACGGGAGGCAGCAGUGGGGAAUAUUGGACAAUGGGCGAAAGCCUGAUCCAGCAAUGCCGCGUGAGUGAUGAAGGCCUUAGGGUUGUAAAGCUCUUUUACCCGGGAUGAUAAUGACAGUACCGGGAGAAUAAGCUCCGGCUAACUCCGUGCCAGCAGCCGCGGUAAUA
rnacentral:rRNA from 1 species